rnacentral:misc_RNA from 1 species
GGAGAACGUAGCGAAGAAGGCGUGGCAGAAAUUGCCGAUUUAAGGGCUUCGAAGAGACGGGAGGAAAGGGAGGGGCCGGAGUGGGAAAUAUCGAGGUGGGGAGAAUGCUUGAUGGCGAGGCGGUGGGAGUGGUGGUGAGGUGGAGGAUCGGUGGUGAUGACAUGGAAGUGGUCGGAGGUGUGUGCGGUGGAGAGGAAGGAAGUGAGGAGAGAGGAGGAAUCAGGAGCGAAAGAGGAGCCAACGAGACGGAUAUGAAGGGAAA